CAUGAAGUGUCUACCUAAGUAUGCUAAUCUAGGGUGUAGCACACCUCAUCUUCCUAGGCAUGGAUCAUCUUAGACUACUUUAGCAAACAUGAAUAGUAAAUGGCAUGCUCAAGGUUUAAACAUCAUAAAAUAAUUUUUCAUUGAGAAAGAGAAUUUAAACAAACUCCAAAAAGAUUAAAAGAGUAAGAACUACAAUGCCCUGUUACAUUGCUAGGGCUUCAUCCAGCCCU
rnacentral:lncRNA from 1 species